rnacentral:rRNA from 1 species
UCAAGUGACUAAGUGUAUGUGGUGGAUGCCUUGGCGAUCAUAGGCGAUGAAGGACGUGUAAGCCUGCGAAAAGCUGCGGGGAGUCGGCAAAAAGACUUUGAUCCGCAGAUGUCCGAAUGAGGAAACUCACCGGGUAACCGGUAUCACAAACUGAAUACAUAGGUUUGUGAAGCGAACGCAGUGAACUGAAACAUCUAAGUAACUGCAGGAAAAGAAAUCAACCGAGAUUGCGGCAGUAGCGGCGAGCGAAACCGUAGCAGCCUAGUCUUUGAUAAUGCAUGGUGACAGCAGAACGGUCUGGAAAGGCCGGCCACAGUGGGUGACAGCCCCGUAUGCGAAGUCCGGUGCAUGGUACUAAAAAGACGAAAAGUAGGGCGGGACACGUGACAUCCUGUCCGAAGACGGGGGGACCAUCCUCCAAGGCUAAAUACUCAUGAUCGACCGAUAGCGAACCAGUACUGUGAAGGAAAGGUGAAAAGAACCCCGGGAGGGGAGUGAAAGAGAACCUGAAACCGCAUACAUACAAACAGUAGGAGCCCUACGGGGUGACUGCGUACCUUUUGCAUAAUGGGUCAGCGACUUACGUUUUGCGGCAAGCUUAACCGAGUAGGGGAGGCGCAGCGAAAGCGAGUUCGAACAGAGCGAUAGAGUCGUAAGGCGUAGACCCGAAACCAGAUGAGCUAACCAUGGCCAGGUUGAAGGUGUGGUAACACACACUGGAGGACCGAACCGACCGGUGUUGCAAAACCGGCGGAUGAGCUGUGGUUAGGGGUGAAAGGCUUAACAAAUCUGGAGAUAGCUGGUUCUCCCCGAAAACUAUUGAGGUAGUGCCUCGUGACUGACUCCGGGGGGUAGAGCACUGUUAUGGCUAGGGGGACAUGGCGUCUUACCAAACCAUGGCAAACUCCGAAUACCCGGAAGUUGAAUCACGGGAGACAGAGCACCGGGUGCUAACGUCCGGACUCAAAAGGGAAACAACCCAGACCGCCGUUUAAGGUCCCAAAUACAGGCUAAGUGGAAAACGAAGUGUGAAGGCUAAGACAGUCAGGAAGUUGGCUUAGAAGCAGCCAUCCUUCAAAGAAAGCGUAAUAGCUCACUGAUCGAGUCCUCAUGCGCGGAAGAUGUAACGGGGCUAAGUCUGUAACCGAAAGCGCGGAUUUGCACGCAAGUGCAAGUGGUAGGGGAGCGUUCUGUAAGCCUGCGAAGGCGGAUCUGCGAGGACCGCUGGAGGUAUCAGAAGUGCGAAUGCUGACAUGAGUAACGUUAAAGCGGGUGAAAAGCCCGCUCGCCGCAAGCCCAAGGUUUCCUGCUCUACGUUCAUCGGAGCAGGGUGAGUCGGCCCCUAAGGCCAGGCUGAGAAGCGUAGCUGAUGGGAAGCAGAUUAAGAUUUCUGCACCGACGUUAAGUGCGAAGGGGGGACGGAGUUUUGAGCAUCAUCCGGGUGUUGGAUGUCCCGGUUUGUGCGUGUAGGAGGCCGGCAGGCAAAUCCGCCGGCGAAUCUCCGAGACAAAGCAUCGAGCUGCAUUUUGCAGUGAAGUGAUGGGAUGAACUUCCAGGAAAAGCCUCUAAGCAAUAGCUUAAUGUCGACCGUACCGUAAACCGACACAGGUGGGCGAGUUGAAUAUACUCAGGCGCUUGAGAGAACUCGGGAGAAGGAACUCGGCAAAUUGACCCCGUAACUUCGGGAUAAGGUGUGCCUUUGUAGUGUGAAGAGUGAAACACUCCGAGCAUGAAGAGGUCACAGAGAAUAGGUGGCUGCAACUGUUUACUAAAAACACAGCACUCUGCAAAGACGAAAGUCGACGUAUAGGGUGUGAUGCCUGCCCGGUGCCGGAAGAUUAAGUGAUGGGGUGAGAGCUCCUGAUCGAAGUCCCGGUAAACGGCGGCCGUAACUAUAACGGUCCUAAGGUAGCGAAAUUCCUUGUC